GUCUGAAUAAAAUAUUAAAAAGGAGCAUCUGUGAGGCAGGCAGAGGCAGCCAGUCAGACAGCACAGCGGAGCCACAGUCAGUGUGGCGUGCCUGGAGCCCAAGCUGUCAUCUCUACUGUUCCCCAUCUGCUGUCAUACACAAUAAAAUAAUCUCUAAACUAGCAAUUACACCACACCACCACUGCAGCCUGCAAUCAUAUUAGGACAUCCAAGCCUCCUCUCUCUCUUUGUCUCUCUCUCUCGCUCUCUCUCUCUCUUGAGCGACUGAAACCUUUAAGUAUUCAUCCUUGUCACAGAGCUACCAAUUAAUGAGAUCAAUGGAAGCAGUGCGGAGAAAAGGCUGAGCUGGAAACAUUGAUUAUGAAAACAUUAAGAAUGGGCUAAUGAGCAUGGCCACAAGGAUUUCGAUUCUCAUAACACCAUACAUGUGAAGGAAAAGGUAUACAGAUGAGGAGGCAUAGAAAGGUAUGUCAAUUAGUAUUGGCAUGUUACGCAGAUCACAUUUACCAUCCUCCUCCCUUACCUCUUCAGUGAAUGGAUGUCCCAUAAGCAUCUACAUUAUGGAUAUGUGUAUGAAGACUUCACCUUCCAUACACCUCUAUUAAAUAUAACAGGAAACCUGUUUGAUCACCAUGCACUGCUAAAUCAUUCUGGCUAUGGAUACGGAGAAGAUCAGCACAUUAUCAUCAACACGCCAGAGGAUAUACCCAUUGGACUUGGGGCUCUGCUGGGAGUUUACCUCAUAUUUAGAUUUUUUAAUUCUGCUUUGCCACUGAAAUCAUAAUAAACACUGAGAACUAAAAUAUUGUGUUAUUGUUAUGCGUAUUAUUAUUAAUAAUAAUAAUAGGGGAGAGGG
rnacentral:lncRNA from 13 species